GAAGUGUGGACGCCAGUCUGCAUGGAGCCGACCUUGAAAUACCACCCUUUAAUGUUUGAUGUUCUAACGUUGACCCGUGAUCCGGGUUGCGGACAGUGUCUGGUGGGUAGUUUGACUGGGGCGGUCUCCUCCUAAAGAGUAACGGAGGAGCACGAAGGUUGGCUAAUCCUGGUCGGACAUCAGGAGGUUAGUGCAAUGGCAUAAGC
rnacentral:rRNA from 1 species